rnacentral:rRNA from 1 species
UGGGAACGUACCCUUUGGUUCGGAACAACUCCGGGAAACUGGAACUAAUACCGAAUAAGCCCUACGGGGGAAAGAUUUAUCGCCGAAGGAUCGGCCCGCGUCGGAUUAGCUAGUUGGUGGGGUAAAAGCCUACCAAGGCAACGAUCCGUAGCUGGUCUGAGAGGAUGACCAGCCACACUGGGACUGAGACACGGCCCAGACUCCGUACGGGAGGCAG